rnacentral:rRNA from 1 species
AUUGAACGCUGGCGGCAUGCCUUACACAUGCAAGUCGAACGGUAACAGGUCUUCGGAUGCUGACGAGUGGCGAACGGGUGAGUAAUACAUCGGAACGUGCCUAGUAGUGGGGGAUAACUACUCGAAAGAGUGGCUAAUACCGCAUGAGAUCUACGGAUGAAAGCAGGGGAUCGCAAGACCUUGUGCUACUAGAGCGGCCGAUGGCAGAUUAGGUAGUUGGAGGGAUAAAAGCUUACCAAGCCGACGAUCUGUAGCUGGUCUGAGAGGACGAUCAGCCACACUGGGACUUGGACACGGCCCAGACUACUACGGGAGGCAGCAGUGGGGAAUUUUGGACAAUGGGCGAAAGCCUGCUCCAGCAAUGCCGCUUGCAGGAUGAAGGCCUUCGGGUUGUAAACUGCUUUUGUACGGAACGAAAAGCCCCGGGUUAAUACCCUGGGGUCAUGACGGUACCGUAAGAAUAAGCACCGGCUAACUACGUGCCAGCCGCCGCCGCAG